rnacentral:lncRNA from 10 species
AGAUCAGCCCUGGGGUUCAGAGGGAUCCUGACAGCUACUCCUCAAGAUCCUCUCUGUUGUGAUUCAUCCCCCCGGGGCCCUACAGUUUCUCCUUCCUGACUCUUACAUUUCUUUGGAUGGCAUCAUUAUUUACCUGUCUCCUCCCAUAGUUAGGUGCCAAGCACUGUGGAUUCUGCCUCUCAGUGUCCAGACACCCAUUUUCCUUCCCACUGUUCCUUCCCCAUGGAGAAGCCUGUGGCUGGCUGACAGCAGAGAGAGAUGCUCAACUUGGAGAAGGUGUUACCUGGGCCAGGUGGGGAAGGUUUGUUUGCAGAGCAAAGAAGUGAAGGAAGUAUUAACCCUUUGCAUGGCCUCCUGAGAAUCCGACAAGACGUAAAUAGCCAAGAAUAUCUGUGAAACUUCAUCACUGAGUUACAAUAUUUAUCACUGCAAGUGUGUUGUUCAUUGACACUAUAAAGCCAUGUGGAAUUAAGCAGCCUUGAAACACAAAAUGGAGAAAGGCUAAGAGCUGAGAAUUGUUGCCUUCAGGGAAAUACAAUCAAUGUCAAGCAAACAACCACCCCAAAAUGAUCCUCAUGUGACAGGUGACCUGCCAUAUAAUCAGAAGGAAGAAAUGUUACACAGAGAGGCUGAGAAGAAUCUGAGGACUUGCUAAGUUUUCCCCAGUUUAUUACCAUUAGAUCAUAUGCCUUUUUUGUUCAAUCA